UAUGUGUAGAUACAACAUGGCAUCGCAACAUAACUCUACAACACAUCAUUUAUUUAUAAGGCUCCAAAGAGCCAACAUAGUAUAAUGUUACGAACAGAGUGGGUCACAUGAACCAACAUUCAGAGCAUACAAACAUCAAGCGGAAGUUACAGGUCUGGGUACAGACAUCUACUAAAAGCAGCUGGAAGAGCGUGAAAAGCUACAAUGACCCUACCAUAGGAGCCACAUCACUAUGUGGGUUCCCAAGCUAAUCCAUCCAUGUUAACGUCAAGAGGUAAACGUAGAGAGAACAACGUCUAUCCCUGCAAAAAUUUAAAUAAGCAACAAUGAAUACGAAGGUACUCACCCAGACCUACAUGAGAACUAACUACAUUUUCAUCAUGCAUCAAUGAACGGGAUUGUGGGGUUACUGCAGAAAUGCCAGCUUUGACCUUUGGCUAACCUAAACUACAACAAUAUUUCAUACCUCUCUCGUAUCCCUAUGAGAAAGCAUACACGAGUCCACGUAUCCACCACAUCAAUACACCACCAUGAUGGAUCGUCUCUCGCCAUCCUACGAGAAGGCCAUCCAUAGCACACACACUUAUCUGGACCAUUUUAGAGCAUCUGUUAAAUUUGUCUAUGAACCAUGCAACUGUCUAAGUAGUCCAUAUCCGAGGAUGCGGCUAUUCGAAUAGAUAAUUACCCUCAGGGGUGUACUUCGUCAAACAUGCUCCCUCCACUUAUCGCCAUCUGCACAUAAAACAAGCACCUCGGCAACCUUCAAGCGGAAGCCCAGCGAGGGAGUCGGCCAUAGACGUUAACUCACAAUGACUCACAUCCAAGGCAGUCGCCCAUCUGAGUUGAAACCCAUAAUGGAAGUCCACCGAGGCUUCCAACAUGGCCUCAAACGAUGUGAGCAGGGCCCCAAGCCGGCCCGAUUGGGCCGUUCAACCACGUCGCAAGCCCGACAACAACCUAUGAAUGUUUCGAACCAAUGUAACUCCUGGACUGAGAACAGAGAAGUUAAUAGGCCAAGAGAUCUCGUAUUACCGAAGCCCAAUGUGCGAUAGUAGCUAGUCUUGGAACACCAACACAAGAUCUCAGGUCCUAAGUGUGGCAUCAAUGAGACAACCCACCAUGUACUCCUACAUGGACUCUCAUCUCUACCUUUACCGAAACUCCUAUUAGGACAUGAUCAUUCCAAUUCAUCAUCCAUAUGAUUAGACCAACUCAACUCUAAGCAUAACAAGCAUAUCAGGGUAAUGGCACAACAUGGCUCAAGCAUCUACCAGGUAUGCUAGGUUGCUUGGUAUAGUUGAAUCAUUUUGUCCUAAUGCAUUGAAAUGAGAGCAAGAGCGAGAGAGUGGGAUUGUAUCGGAAUGCUCAAGGGGAGGUUGAUUGCCUGUUGAUCAGAAAAACUCAGCUAUUCUUUGAUGUGGUUGAUAACUAUAUCUCGCAAGUCUAUCCACAAGAUCAAACAAGGUACAUAUUAAGCACGACAAAUGCUUCACGAUGAUGCAUGAGUAUUGCAUGUUAAUAUGAUGCUUGUUUUGUCUAAUGCAGGUGACCUCAAAUUAAAUGGAAGUUAUUUGAUCCAUAUUGAUCAAUUCUAAACUGCAUAUAAAAACAUUUAAUGCCUUUAAUGAAAUUGACAUAUCCAGCAAGUUUAAGUGGUUCAAACAUGCAUGAAAAUGCCACCAUCAGAUUCAUUGGAUUUUUCUCAUAAUUUUUCAUAUAUAAUUUAUUUAUUUGGAGCUAUAGAUUAAUUUCUAUUAUUUUUUAAAUUUAAGCCAUUUUCUAGAAUAAUUUAAACUCAGAAAACAAAUACCGUAUCAUGCUUGCAUCAGCAAGUCAGCAACGCUAGCCCAGGUCAAACCUAACGUGCGGGGUCCGCACGUGAGCGAUACAGGGACUAACCAGGGGUAAAUGAUGUGGCCAUUAGUGUUGAAGCUAUAGUCAAUCAAUAUAUGUUUUAUAUUGGUUCUGUUCUCGUGUAAAUGCCAGCAGCUGAUCCCCAAAAGGAAGCGAUCAGGCUGAACUUCAGAACGCCUCCUUGCAAUUGGUGUUUCGUUGGAAAUAAGUUUCCAGUACGAUUCGAUGUAGGGACGUGAGAGCCAAGUUUUCCUUUGUUUUAUCCAGUAGUACCAGACACAUAGCUGGUAGUUAGUUUGUUAGGUGAUCAGCGUGGCGGAAUAAUUAAAUUGUUUAUAUAUUAUUUAGUUGAGACGGGAAAGAGGGAGAGUCCUUGCUACUUCGGUUUGUUUGGUAGGUCGGUAUCGGAGACGUACUUUGCCUAUAUAACGGGCUGGCUAUGUCCGAUGUAAGGAGGUUAGUUUUUGAUUGGAAGUUAUGCAGAGAAAACGUCCCAUGUCGGGGGACACCAAAUAUUGUCCUAGUUGUUGAUCCAUUUGAAUUUUGUUGCUACCCUGCGUGGAGUUAAUCUAAUAUAUUCAACGCUAGUUUUUGAUCUUAUGGUCCUGCUUCUUUGCUCGACCAAAAUUUCUUAUUGCUGCUAUUACCGUGAAAGAUCGGGAUGACGAAUGACUCACCAUUUAGUCGAGUCUAUAUCAGUUAAUCCCGCAUUGACCCAGCUUGGACCAGUUGUGGGGCCUAGCGUCAGUGGCUAAUGGCAUGUUAAUUAGCGGCUAAACGGUCAACCACGUCAGAAGUCGUCGUAGCUUCGCCCGCGGCGACCAGAACAGCGGCGACAGUUCGUCGGAAAUUGCUACGGGGCUUGGUUUGGAGCGCCGAGAGCAAUGGGAUGCUACCCAGGCUCGGCCGCAUCCAGGGACAGGUGUGGCUGGUCGCGGGGGUGCCGGAGCUCGCCGACAAUGAGCUCGUGGCGGCGGCCGGAGCUCGGCCACGGUGGGCUAGCGCUAGGAGGCGUAGGAGAGCAGGGAGAAUGACGGAAAGUGCGAGGUGGCUGACCACGAGGCGGCUGGAGGUGACGGGGAUCUCGGGGGAGCUCAAAUCCUUGCGCAUCAACAACGGAUGUCUCUGGCGGCCGGAGAUGGAAAUUGUGGCGGUGAUGGCGCUACAGGGCUCCUGUCUUCGAUUCCCUUUGCUGGAAGGAUGAGGGAGUCGCUGUGGUUCUUCUGGCAUGCACAGGGGAGCGAGCAGGGGCCGGUAGCCGUGAAUACGGCGAGCGGCGCUUGCGGUGGCGCUCGGGUCUUGGCGGGAGAGAGAGAAAUAGAGCGAGA
rnacentral:lncRNA from 1 species